rnacentral:rRNA from 1 species
GAUGAACGCUAGCGAUAGGCUUAACACAUGCAAGUCGAGGGGCAGCACAAGGUAGCUUGCUAUCUGGGUGGCGACCGGCGCACGGGUGCGUAACGCGUAUGCAACUUGCCCUAUACAGGAGGAUAACCCGUCGAAAGACGGACUAAUACUGCGUAUGCUCACAACUUGGCAUCAAGUGGUGAGGAAAGAAAUUCGGUAUAGGAUAGGCAUGCGUCCCAUUAGCUUGUUGGUGAGGUAACGGCUCACCAAGGCAACGAUGGGUAGGGGAACUGAGAGGUUUAUCCCCCACACUGGUACUGAGACACGGACCAGACUCCUACGGGAGGCAGCAGUGAGGAAUAUUGGUCAAUGGGCGCGAGCCUGAACCAGCCAAGUCGCGUGAAGGAUGACUGUCUUAUGGAUUGAAAACUUCUUUUAUACGGGAAUAACAAGAGUCACGUGUGACUCCCUGCAUGUACCGUAUGAAUAAGCAUCGGCUAACUCCGUG